GUCUGUAGUAGUCCUGCGCUGGUCUGUAGUAGUCCUGUACUGGUCUGUAGUAGUCCUGUGCUGGUCUGUAGUAGUCCUGUGCUGGUCUGUAGUAGUCCUGUGCUGGUCUGUAGUAGUCCUGUACUGGUCUGUAGUAGUCCUGUACUGGUCUGUAGUAGUCCUGUGCUGGUCUGUAUAACUGCUGUGCUGGUCUGUAGUAGUCCUGUGCUGGUCUGUAGUAGUCCUGUGCUGGUCUGUACUGCUCUGUGUCCAGGGCUCUACAGUGUCUGCGGUAGGUAGUCCUGUGCUGGUCUGUAGUAGUCCUGUACUGGUCUGUAGUACUAUUGUGCUGGUCUGUAGUAGUCCUGUACUGGUCUGUAGUACUGCUGUGCUGGUCUGUAGUAGUCCUGUGCUGGUCUGUAGUAGUCCUGUACUGGUCUGUAGUACUCCUGUGCUGGUCUGUAGUAGUCCUGUACUGGUCUGUAGUAGUCCUGUACUGGUCUGUAGUAGUCCUGUGCUGGUCUGUAUAACUGCUGUGCUGGUCUGUAGUAGUCCUGUGCUGGUCUGUAGUAGUCCUGUGCUGGUCUGUACUGCUCUGUGUCCAGAGCUCUACAGUGUCUGCGGUAGGUAGUCCUGUGCUGGUCUGUAGUAGUCCUGUGCUGGUCUGUAGUACUGCUGUGCUGGUCUGUAGUACUGCUGUGCUGGUCUGUAGUAGUCCUGUGCUGGUCUGUAGUACUGCUGUGCUGGUCUGUAGUAGUCCUGUGCUGGUCUGUAGUAGUCCUGUGCUGGUCUGUAGUAGUCCUGUGCUGGUCUGUAGUACUGCUGUGCUGGUCUGUAGUAGUCCUGUGCUGCUCUGUAGUAGUCCUGUACUGCUCUGUACUGCUCUGUGUCCAGGGCUCUACAGGGUCUGCGGUAGGUAGUCCUGUGCUGCUCUGUAGUAGUCCUGUGCUGCUCUGUACUGCUCUGUGUCCAGGGCUCUACAGGGUCUGCGGUAGGUAGUCCUGUGCUGGUCUGUAGUAGUCCUGUGCUGCUCUGUAGUAGUCCUGUACUGCUCUGUACUGCUCUGUGUCCA
rnacentral:lncRNA from 1 species